rnacentral:rRNA from 1 species
UGGGGAAUUUUGCGCAAUGGGGGAAACCCUGACGCAGCAACGCCGCGUGGAGGAUGAAAUCCCUUGGGAUGUAAACUCCUUUCGAUAGGGAAGAUAAUGACGGUACCUAUAGAAGAAGCCCCGGCUAACUUCGUGCCAGCAGCCGCGGUAAUACGAGGGGGGCAAGCGUUGUUCGGAAUUAUUGGGCGUAAAGGGUGCGUAGGCGGUUUGACAAGUCUAAUGUGAAAUCUAUGGGCUCAACCCAUAGUCUGCAUUGGAAACUGUCGGGCUUGAGUAUGGGAGAGGUGAGUGGAAUUUCCGGUGUAGCGGUGAAAUGCGUAGAUAUCGGAAGGAACACCUGUGGCGAAAGCGGCUCACUGGACCAUUACUGACGCUGAGGCACGAAAGCUAGGGGAGCAAACAGGAUUAGAUACCCUGGUAGUCCUAGCCCUAAACGAUGAUUGCUUGAUGUGGCAGGUACCCAAUCCUGCCGUGUCGAAGCUAACGCGAUAAGCAAUCCGCCUGGGGAGUACGGUCGCAAGGC